CUUCAGGAAGCCCGAACACCCCAAAUAUUUUUUUUUUUCAUUUUACAUUUUUUUUGGUGUAACCAACUCCAAAAGGUCUGAAACAUGUUCCUAAAAAGGUUUUGGACACUGAUUUUAACUCUAACCCCAAAAACCUUAAACCUUACCCUAGCCCCAUAACCUAAUACCCGGGUAUUACCUUCAGGAAGCCCGAACACCCCAAAUUUUUUUUUUUUUUUUUUUUUUUUUUUUGUCUAACUAACUCCAAAAGGUCUGAAACAUGUUCCUUAAAAAAUAUUGGACAGUGAUUUUAACCCUAACGCCAAAAACCUUAAACCUUACCCUAGCCCCAUAACCUAAUACCCGGGUAUUACCUUCAGGAAGCCCGAACACCCCAAAUAUAUUUUUUUCAUUUUACAUUUUUUUUGGUGUAACCAACUCCAAAAGGUCUGAAACAUGUUCCUACAAAGGUUUUGGACAGUGAUUUUAACUCUAACGCCAAAAACCUUAAACCUUACCCUAGCCCCAUAACCUAAUACCCGGGUAUUACCUUCAGGAAGCCCGAACACCCCAAAUAUUUUUUUUCUUUUUUUUUUUUUUUUGUCUAACUAACUCCAAAAGGUCUGAAACAUGUUCCUUAAAAAAUAUUGGACAGUGAUUUUAACCCUAACGCCAAAAACCUUAAACCUUACCCUAGCCCCAUAACCUAAUACCCGGGUAUUACCUUCAGGAAGCCCGAACACCCCAAAUAUUUUUUUUUCAUUUUUCUUUUUUUUUGGUCUAACUAACUCCAAAAGGUUGAAAAUAGUUCCUACAAAGGUUUUGGACAGUGAUUUUAACCCUAACGCCAAAAACCUUAAACCUUACCCUAGCCCCAAAACCUAAUACCCGGGUAUUACCUUCAGGAAGCCCGAACACCCCAAAUAUUUUUUUUUCAUUUUACAUUUUUUUUGGUGUAACCAACUCCAAAAGGUCUGAAACAUGUUCCUAAAAAGGUUUUGGACAGUGAUUUUAACCCUACGCCAAAAACCUUAAACCUUACCCUAGCCCCAUAACCUAAUACCCGGGUAUUACCUUCAGGAAGCCCGAACACCCCAAAUAUUUUUUUUUCAUUUUCUUUUUUUUUUGUCUAACAACUCCAAAAGGUUGGAAAAGAUUCCUACAAAGGUUUUGGACAGUGAUUUUAACCCUCACGCCAAAAACCUUAAACCUUAACCUAGCCCCAUAACCUAAUACCCGGGUAUUACCUUCAGGAAGCCCGAACACCCCAAAUAUAUUUUUUUCUUUUUCUUUUUUUUUUGGUCAACUAACUCCAAAAGGUCUGAAACAUGUUCCUUAAAAAUAUUGGACAGUGAUUUUAACCCUUACGCCAAAAACCUUAAACCUAAUCCUAGCCCCAUAACCUAAUACUUAAACC